UGGAAACAGGCAUAAGCAGCAGAAGAGUGGAGCACAGAGACAGACUAUUUUGAGUUCAGGUAAACAUUCAGUAGGAACAUGUGAACAUCUGACAUCUGGUUAUAAACUUCCAUUAGCUAAAGGAUGACCAGCCCAUUUAUGUAAGAAUGUCCUAGAAUCAUUACGGGAAGCCAAGUCCAACCACCACAGUAGGUAAGAGAAGUAACAGUAUAGAAUGCACAGUAAGAAAAAUCCUAUGAUAAAUUUAAAAUGUAAAGGCUUUUUGGGAGGAGAGUUGGGGAAAUGACUGAAGAGGACAUGAGGGAACUUUCUGGAGUGACAAAAUGUUACAUAUUGAUUGGGUUGCCCAAGGGAUAUUACAUACAUGUGUCAAAAACUCAUUUAAAAAUCUGCAUGUUUUGGCUGGGCGCAGUGGUUCAUGCCUAUAAUCCCAGCACUCUGGGAGGCCGAGGUGGGGUUCGAGACCAGCCUGGCCAACAUGGUGAAACCCCGUCUGUACUAAAAAUACAAAAAUUAGCUGGGCAUGGUGGCGUGUGCCUGUAAUCCCAGACUCAGGAGGCUAAGGCAUGAGAAUCGCUUGAACCCAGGAGGUGGAGGUUGCAGUGAGCCGAGACUGCACCAUUGCACUCCAGCCUGGGUGACAGAGAAAGACUCCAUCUCGUCUUUUUUUUUUUAAGGCAGGGUCUCAUUCUGUCACCCAGGUGGGAGUGCAGUGGUGCAGUCACCACUCACUGCAGCUUCAACUUCCUGGGCUCAAGCAAUCCUCCCCCCAUUUUUGAUUUUUUUGUAAAGACGAGGUCUCACUAAUGUUGCCCAGGAUGGUCUUGAACUCCUGGGCUUAAGUGAUCCUCCCACCUAGGCCUCCCAAAGUGCUGGGGUUACAGGCAUGAGCCACCACACCUGGCCUCUAAAAAUCUGCAUUUCAGUUUAUGUAAAUCACAUUGCA
rnacentral:lncRNA from 1 species